GACGAACGCUGGCGGCGUGCUUAACACAUGCAAGUCGAACGAAGUGGCGAACGGGUGAGUAACGCGUAAUCACCCUGCCCUUCAGAGGGGGACAACAGUUGGAAACGACUGCUAAUACCGCAUAAUGAGGGUGGGGAUUGGGUCUGAUUGGCUGUUUGGAGGGGGAACGGCCCACCAAGGCGAUGGUCGGUGGCCGGUCUGAGAGGAUGAACGGCCACAUUGGGACUGAGAAACGGCCCAGACCCCUACGGGAGGCAGCAGUGGGGAAUCUUCCGCAAUGGACGAAAGUCUGCCGGAGCAACGCCGCGUGAGUGAUGACGGCCUUCGGGUUGUAAAGCUCUGUUAAUCGGGACGCGGUACCGGAAUAGAAAGCCACGGCUAACUACGUGCCAGCAGCCGCGGUAAUUC
rnacentral:rRNA from 1 species